GGAGGAUUUGUCAAUAAACUUAGGAAAUAGUGCCCGUGUUUUUCCCUUGUGGCCUGGCCUCGUGUGUGUGUGUGUGUGUGUGUGUGCACGCGCGCCUUGUCCCGGCGUUCAGAGUGUGACUCCGCUGCUCUACCUAUACCCGUGUGGAUAACACGCCCGCCCGGAGUGAGGGAUGGGCGCAACAAUAACAUCUUUGUUGGCCCUGUCGAAGGCACCCUUAAGAUCAACGAAAGCUCUGCAGGACGGUUAUAUGAACUGGCAGCCAUUGUUGAUGUUUGCAUUGCUUGCUGGGGCCGGGAGAAUUCCACGAUUACAGCUCAAAUAGAAGGAGUGAGUGAGGCAGGAUGAGUCUGAUGGGUGCUUAGGCUGAGAGUCACGCCGCAGGGUCAGUGAGGGGUACGGCCGGCAGUAUGGUGACUCCUACGGCGGCGGUAGGUCAUCACAGGAGUACUCAUGUGACAGGAGCAGCAGUUGGGGGGCAGUCACAGGGGAGGGGGCUGAUGGCGAAACCAUGGGAGGGGGAGAUGGUGCCGGGGAGUGGCAGGGUGGCCAGCCUUAUGCUGCAGGGGACGGCCACUGCUCCGGACAUCAUGGCGUAUGGAUAACCUGGAGUCCGAAGUGGCACUUAAUAUUCUCAAUGCUGUGGUGACUAAUAAAGAAGAGGCACAGUGGUCAAGACAGGGACUGGGAAGGCAGACAGAAGAGGAGGAUGGACUGGAUGAGUAACAGCAGUACUAGUAGAAGUAGUAGUAGUGAUAGUUUGAUCAUAGUAGAGAUAGCAGUAAAAUAUCUAGUUGUAUUAUUAGAAGUAGUAGCAAUAGUAGAAGUAAUACCAGUAGUAGAAGUAGCUUGGUCAAAGUAGUAAUGGUAAUAGUAGUGAUAGCAGGAUGUUAUUUAACUGUAUAAAAGAAAGAUUAAAUCCAUAUAUAAAACUUAUUGGCAGGACCAGUAGCAGCAGCAGUAGUAGUAUUAGGAACACCCUGCUCAUAAUAACAGAAGUAGAGCCAUAACAAUUCACUAUAUAAAACAAAAAGCACCAAACUAAUAUAGCAUCAACAACAACAGUAGCAGUAGUAGUAGUAGUAAUAGUAGCAGCAGUAGUAGUAGUAGUAACAACACUAACUCCAACACUUUACCAACAGGACGACCAGUACUAUGGGUCUGGCUGCGGCAUCCUACCCACCCCCCGGAUGCCCCCAUGCUAACUGCCCUGGCGCGACCCUAACAUUGGCCCUGCACACUCCUGGGGUGUGGUGGGGGGCUUUGUACCAGGGCGGCCGGGGCGGGGGCGGGGUAGAGCAACAGGACUGGGGUACAAGAUGAAGAAAACGUUGCCGGCUAAGAAGAAAAUAGGAGCUAAGGAGGUUAAGACAAGUGGUGGUGGUGGUGGUGGUGCUGGUGGUGUGAAACCGAGGAUAAGACUGUAUCAUCAGUCUGAUGAUAUUUUGAAUAUCAAUUAUUUAACUUCUGCAACACCUGAGGACAAGACAGGAGCCAGCUCCUCCCAGAAUGAGCCCACACCUGCACCUGAGGACACACCCACACCUGCACCCAAGCCUUCACCCACCCCUAGCACCCACUCCAGCAUCCAGCACAGCCCAGGGGAAGGCCCAGGGCAGGCAGCCAAGGGCCGAGGCAGGGGCAGGGGUGUGGCGUGGGGGAGGAGAGUGUGAAGUGUGUGGGUUAGGUUUGUAUGUGGUACUUUGUCUGGGCUGCUCCAUAUGUGGGAGAGCUCGGUUGGUGUAGAGAUGGAUAGAUAGAUGUGUGUGUGUGUGUAUGUGUGUGUGUGUGUGUGUGUGUGUGUGAGGGAUUUGUACUUCAUUCAAGCAUCUUUUAUUUUUACUACUGCUACUAUCUUGUUCACUACUGGAAGAUUAGUACUAAGAUGUGAUUCUUGUUAUUUUUAAGGGUAUUAUUCCAAUGUUUUUUGUAUGAUUGCAUCUCAUUCCUGUUGUACUUGAGAGAGAGAGAGAGAGAGAGAGAGAACAGGCCUCAUUGCACAAACUAAUGAUAAAAAAAACUCACAACCAUUCCAAAAAGUAUAAAUAUGUUAGUUUUGUCAGUAGAUUUUGCAAGAAAGGAAAUUUGAAAUACAGGAGUGUGUGGGAGAGGCAAAGGAUAUGUAGGAUGGCAGAUUAGUGUGUGAAGGAUGUGUAGGAGAGGCUGAGGAUAUCCUGUACACUGUGUCAGGAUGGUUAAGGGUAAUUUGGAAGGAAGCUAGUGUGUGAAGGAUGCAUUAGGUAGGAUGUGUAGUAGUGGGUACAAUGUGUUAAGAAUGAUAUGUAUGUUACAGGAGAUAAGGAUGUGUAUUUUCACCACAAGUAUGUGUAGAGAUUGGUGUUAACACAGCAGGAAGGUUUGAUGAAGCUGGACCAUCAUUCCUUGUGUUGUCUUAAUAAAUGUAUGCAAACUGACUGUAAACUCUCUCUCCUUCUAGUGUAUUUAUCAGCUUUUGGGGUCAAGAUGUCACUUUAUUUAUUUAUUUAUUUUUUAUUGUUAUUUUGUUUGUCUUUUUUUUUUCUUUGUGUUGGACAGUUUACGAGUCAGUUCCAGUUUUUGUGACGGUGGAUGUGGUUUCUUUCUGUGAUGCUUGUCCUUGCCAUGCCUUCCUUCCCAGUGACUACCAUGUGUAGGCCUGAUGGCUCCUUGCAGCUUCCCUUUUGUACAUCCUUAUGUUACUCCACACUCAGUUUCUCCAUGUGUUGACUGUUUUUCUUUUUUUGUGUCUUCCUCCACUUAUAAAUAACACUCAAACUCACACACACACACUUCAGGUAUUCUCAGAUAUUCAGAUAUCUCAGAUAUCUUGCCUUCCUUCACCUACUCACAGCAUCUCCAGGUCUUCACACUCAGCAUUCCCCCUCAUCUUUCACUCCACACAGUAUCCUUUACUCCACACAGCCUGCCCCCUCAUCCUUCAGUCAGCCUCUUCCCUCAUCUUUCACUCAGCUUCCCUCCUCAUCUCUCAGUCCACACAGCCUGCCCCCUCAUCCUUCACUCCACACAGCCUGCCUCCUUAUCCCUCAGUCAGCCUCUUCCCUCAUCUUUCACUCAGCUUCCCUCCUCAUCUCUCACUGCACACAGCCUGCCCCCUCAUCCUUCACUCCUCCACACAGCAUCCCUCAUCUCUAACACCAUCCAAGCCUUACACAUCCACACCUACAUCUACAUCUCACACCUGCAGCAUCCCUGGAAUCACAUCAGUGCCCCCAGGUGACAGGUGAGCUCUAAUUCUAUCCUCCAUUCUGUUUUUCGUCACCACCACCAUCACCACCACCACCAAUAUUUAGGACCUAAAUAUGCUAAUUAUACUGUUUGUCCUGCGUAUUUUUAAUUGUGGAGUAGGGAAGUGGAAAAAUAAUUGAUUUAAUAUUAAGAGCUAAAGUAAGAAUGUAAGAAAAAUAAGGGCUAGUGCAAGAAACUAAUAGGCCUAUGUGCGGUGGUCCAUAUUUCAAACAUGCCUGCGUAUUUCCACCUAUCAUCCCUGUCCAUAAAUUCGUAUAAUCUCUUAAAACUACCUAAUGACUCAGCGCUAACAACCUGGUUCGUUUGUCUCCACCGUGUGGAUUAAUAUAUUCCUUAACUAUCUCGUUGUAUUAAACUGCUUGUAAUGGUUGACGUAUUCUGGUCUGCAUCCUUCAUUUGUAUCUUGUUUGUAUUCUUGUAUUCUUAAGCACUUCAUCUCAAAAUAAUGGCAAAGAUAGUUAGUCUUUGCCAUGCGGAUAAAAUAUUUCCUCAAACUACCUCGUUAAAUUAAUCUGCUUGUAAUUGUUGAUGUAUUCUGGUUUGUGUUCUCCAUUUGUAUCUUGUUCGUAUUGUUAAGCUCUUUGUUCUUUCACCAGGACUGUUAACAAAUGCCACAGGUGAUUGGUCAGGUUCUCAUGGGUGUUCUCAUUAAUGACGCAGGAUCCUCACCAAACCAUCACUGAGUCAUGAUAGUGCCAUUAUCACUUCGUUGACUUUCACUACAGGCUGUAAAACUAUCACCCAAGGAAACACACUUGUAAAUCCCUAACAGUUUGUACUAUACCCUGCUAAAACAUUCGUAAAACCACGAUAACUUCCAGUAAAUCAAAGGAAAUUGCCACUAAACCAUGAAAAUACCCUUGCAAAACUCGUCACCUCACUAAUCAUAAUUUCAAUCACUAAAGUCACGAAAACAUCCUUGGAAAACCAAAUAACUUUAGCUCGGGUUUGUUAAAAGUAGUGGAGGUAUUUUCUUUUCUUCCCUUUUGUUGCCUCAGCCCGGUGUCCCUCUGAUAUGAAAAAAAAAAAAAAACAAGACAUUGAAGCGUUCGAGAUAGCGAAAAAGUUACGAAGCUUCAGCAGACGUGAACUAACGCCUGACUCUAGCCGCGUCGCUCUCUCUACCUCCGUCCGCCGCCCAGGUCAUCCCAGCCACGUGCCGCCGCCUCGCUCCGCUGCUUCACAAGGCGCUCCACGCGUGCCACAGCCAGCCGGCGCUCCCUAUUGGCGGACUGAAGACCCACGCACCCCAGCAACAAGGUGAAGGCUGUGCUCUGGCAGGUCGCUCCAGCUUGCCAUCAUAGGUGCUAGCCUGCCCUGAGCGCCCUCCUCUCUGCCUGUGACGCGCCGGGGGUGUCUGGCUGGAUGAGUGGUGACGCUGCAGUGACCUCGCAGACUGGCGGCGGCACUCCCCUGCAAUACGUCCCCUGCAUUGCUGUAACAAAGCAGCCGUGUGAGCGACUCGUGGGCUGGCGCGCCGCCGGUUAAUGAUGUACGAGAGGCUCCCAAAUAUAUAUUAUUUUUAGUUAA